rnacentral:lncRNA from 1 species
CUGAAGCUCUUUUGAUUCAUUUUUCUGCAACAGAAGUUAUAUUAUUGCAGGAUUCACCCAGGGUGUUCUACUCCUCCAUAACACCGAGAUGAUCAGAGUCCUGGCAGGGCAGCAGUCUGUCCAAGUGCCAGCAGAGAAGCUCCCACCUGACAGC